rnacentral:rRNA from 1 species
GACGAACGCUGGCGGCGUGCCUAAUACAUGCAAGUAGAACGCUGAAGGAGGAGCUUGCUCUUCUGGAUGAGUUGCGAACGGGUGAGUAACGCGUAGGUAACCUGCCUGGUGGCGGGGGAUAACUAUUGGAAACGAUAGCUAAUACCGCAUAACAGUAGAUGUUGCAUGACAUUUGCUUAAAAGGUGCAAUUGCACCACUACCAGAUGGACCUGCGUUGUAUUAGCUAGUUGGUGGGGUAACGGCUCACCAAGGCGACGAUACAUAGCCGACCUGAGAGGGUGAUCGGCCAAACUGGGACUGAGACACGGCCCAGACUCCUACGGGAGGCAGCAGUAGGGAAUCUUCGGCAAUGGACGGAAGUCUGACCGAGCAACGCCGCGUGAGUGAAGAAGGUUUUCGGAUCGUAAAGCUCUGUUGUAAGAGAAGAACGAGUGUGAGAGUGGAAAGUUCACACUGUGACGGUAUCUUACCAGAAAGGGACGGCUAACUACGUG